GAUUCUUUCUUAAAUUAUUUUGCUAUCGCGUCUAGAUUAUCAACGUUCUCUAUAUAAAGAUAAUCUUUCCAACUUUAUAAUUUACUUCUAUUGAUUUUGAGGAAUUAGUUAAUAUAAAUUACUUUUCUCCCCUUCAAGAAUUACAAAUCUUUUAAGAUUCUACACAUUUUCAGAAAAUAUUUUUCGUUCAUUUAAGUCAAAUACUAUCCAGUAUAGACGAGGAUUCAAAUUUAGUAGCUGUUGGGGUUAGAAGAGGCGUGUGACAUUCUCCAAUGCCAUUUUCUUCAACUACGUAAUCCUUGAUUCGAUAUUGACAAUUGAAGGUGGUGUUCAAUAUACUUUAACGAUCCUGGGUAAUAAGGAAAUGUUUUAGUCAUUUAACAACUGCAAGUAUGAGAUUCGUUUAUUCAUGGUGCUGCAUACUGAACCAAAAUUGCACGUGCAUACAACUUAAAUAUUUUGAUUUUGCUUCUAAAAUAUUAUUUGAAACUAAUUUCUGAGAUUUUAACAAGACCAGGAUUGCAACAAGAUUGAUUACAUGAUCCAGACUGAACUCGGGAUGACUGUUCUACUAAAAGGCUUUUCGGGUAAUCAUAAUUUGAAAGAGUUGAUACUUUCCUAUUGGCCUCUUUGAUUACCUGAAGGGUUCUGUUGUAUCAUAGUAUCAACAAGGUCCAUUUCACAGCAUCCUAUAUUGAUAUUACCUUUGUCGUGGCCUCGACUUGCACAUAAUUUUGCGUACUCUCCCAAUUUGGACCGUUAAAUUUGGAUAUAUUUUACAUGUGAAUAGGCUUCAUUCACCAUGUCAAGUUUGAACUGCAGUCUCACAGUGCAAUUUACAACUCGGCAUUGAGCUUCCAUUCAAAAGAAUAUGGUCAAGAUCAUCAAAAAAAGCAGACGUACUCCUAAACAUUGUCUGUGCGCCAGAUCUUUACUCGAAUAAUUGGUCACCAGGGUCUACCUUCAAAGAGAACCGCUUCUGGAUGAACAAGUGACACUUCAAUGCCAUCUGCAAAUGAAAGGCUUGGCAGAUACCUCAAUGUUGUUUGGAUCCUUGGGUUUUCGACUCAAUUUUGGACCGUUUCGAAUGAAAUUGCGAUGCAAAAUUUGCUGCAAGGAAGAGCGAGGAAAAUUUUAUAGAAGCUUCUGUCAUCUUCGGAACAUUGUAAUUUAACACUGUCGACAUAAAGCACAUUUGGAGAACAGAUAGUAAUCAAUUUCAUGAAUGAAAUGAUGAGAGGGCUUGUCCAAUAAUUAUAAAUCAAGAUGGCAUGAAAUAAGCGGCUUGGUUAAGGAAUGAACGCAACGAAGUGAGAAAUGCGAACCAAGCCGAAGAUUUUUCUGUAAAUACUCCAGGAUGUUCCGCCCCAUUUCAAGAAUAUUAAAGAUGGGAGAAUUCAAGACUGUUGUAGUAGGACAGUUUGUAGAACUGUUACUUUAACAUCUAGACAUUGACGUUAACAAGUGCUAGAAAGUGAAGUAAACAAUCAUGUACACAAUUUAUUUAAAUGAGACUUGUCUACAAUACAAGUGCGUAAUAUUCUAUAUAUUCCGUAACUUUUUAUUGAUAAAUUUUGCAAAGUAGUACUUUGUAAAAUGUUUCUAUUUAACCAUUUCUAGGCUAAAUCUGUUUCCUUGAUUAUUGAAAGCUCGACUUUGAUAAAAGUUUGAGAAUUCAUGAAUGCAUGUUUCUGCAUAUGUGCCGUGUCUAGGGAAUUAAAUUACUAUUCCAUCUUCAAAAUGAAAACUUGAAAGUUGUACAGUUUGAUUUAGCAGCCAAAUGGAUAAAAAUUGAAAAUUUUGGAUUAGUUUUAGUUCCAGUGCCUCAAUAAGGAAACGCGUUUCAAAUUUGUCUUUUUAUUGAUAAUGGUUGACGCAA